rnacentral:rRNA from 1 species
CCCGAGCGUUGUUCGGAAUCACUGGGCGUAAAGGGAGCGUAGGCGGCGUGGUAAGUCAGAUGUGAAAUCCCGGGGCUCAACCCCGGAACUGCAUCCGAUACUGCCGUGCUAGAGGAUUGGAGAGGUAGCUGGAAUUCACGGUGUAGCAGUGAAAUGCGUGGAUAUCGUGAGGAACACUCGUGGCGAAAGCGAGCUACUGGACAACUCCUGACGCUGAGGCUCGAAGGCCAGGGUAGCGAAAGGGAUUAGAUACCCCUGUAGUCCUGGCAGUAAACGGUGUGCGCUUGGUGUGAGGGGAAUCGACCCCCCUUGUGCCGGAGCUAACGCGUUAAGCGCACCGCCUGGGAAGUACGGUCGCAAGACUAAAACUCAAAGAAAUUGACGGGGACCCGCACAAGCGGUGGAGUAUGUGGCUUAAUUCGAUGCAACGCGAAGAACCUUACCAAGGCUUGACAUGCAUCUCUAAGCGCGUGAAAGCGCGUGACCCUUCGGGGGAUUUGCACAGGUGCUGCAUGGCCGUCGUCAGCUCGUGUCGUGAGAUGUUGGGUUAAGUCCCGCAACGAGCGCAACCCUUGUGAUUAGUUGCCAGCACGUCAUGGUGGGAACUCUAAUCAGACUGCCCAGAUCAACUGGGAGGAAGGUGGGGACGACGUCAGGUCAGUAUGGCCCUUACGCCUUGGGCUGCACACGUACUACAAUGCCCAGUACAAUGAGAACCGAUGCCGCGAGGUGGAGGAAAUCUGUAAAACUGGGCCCAGUUCGGAUUGGAGGCUGCAACUCGCCUCCAUGAAGUUGGAAUCGCUAGUAAUGGCGCAUCAUCUACGGCGCCGUGAAUACGUUCCCGGGUCUUGUACACACCGCCCGUCACAUCAUGGAAGCCGGUCGCACCCGAAGUGCCUGUACCAACCGCAAGGGGGUAGG